rnacentral:rRNA from 1 species
UUUAUGGAGAGUUUGAUCCUGGCUCAGGAUGAACGCUGGCGGCGUGCCUAAUACAUGCAAGUCGAGCGAACGGACGAGAAGCUUGCUUCUCUGAUGUUAGCGGCGGACGGGUGAGUAACACGUGGAUAACCUACCUAUAAGACUGGGAUAACUUCGGGAAACCGGAGCUAAUACCGGAUAAUAUUUUGAACCGCAUGGUUCAAAAGUGAAAGACGGUCUUGCUGUCACUUAUAGAUGGAUCCGCGCUGCAUUAGCUAGUUGGUAAGGUAACGGCUUACCAAGGCAACGAUGCAUAGCCGACCUGAGAGGGUGAUCGGCCACACUGGAACUGAGACACGGUCCAGACUCCUACGGGAGGCAGCAGUAGGGAAUCUUCCGCAAUGGGCGAAAGCCUGACGGAGCAACGCCGCGUGAGUGAUGAAGGUCUUCGGAUCGUAAAACUCUGUUAUUAGGGAAGAACAUAUGUGUGUAAGUAACUGUGCACAUCUUGACGGUACCUAAUCAGAAAGCCACGGCUAACUACGUGCCAGCACGCGGUAAUACGUAGGUGGCAAGCGUUAUCCGGAAUUAUUGGGCGUAAAGCGCGCGUAGGCGGUUUUUUAAGUCUGAUGUGAAAGCCCACGGCUCAACCGUGGAGGGUCAUUGGAAACUGGAAAACUUGAGUGCAGAAGAGGAAAGUGGAAUUCCAUGUGUAGCGGUGAAAUGCGCAGAGAUAUGGAGGAACACCAGUGGCGAAGGCGACUUUCUGGUCUGUAACUGACGCUGAUGUGCGAAAGCGUGGGGAUCAAACAGGAUUAGAUACCCUGGUAGUCCACGCCGUAAACGAUGAGUGCUAAGUGUUAGGGGGUUUCCGCCCCUUAGUGCUGCAGCUAACGCAUUAAGCACUCCGCCUGGGGAGUACGACCGCAAGGUUGAAACUCAAAGGAAUUGACGGGGACCCGCACAAGCGGUGGAGCAUGUGGUUUAAUUCGAAGCAACGCGAAGAACCUUACCAAAUCUUGACAUCCUUUGACAACUCUAGAGAUAGAGCCUUCCCCUUCGAGGGACAAAGUGACAGGUGGUGCAUGGUUGUCGUCAGCUCGUGUCGUGAGAUGUUGGGUUAAGUCCCGCAACGAGCGCAACCCUUAAGCUUAGUUGCCAUCAUUAAGUUGGGCACUCUAAGUUGACUGCCGGUGACAAACCGGAGGAAGGUGGGGAUGACGUCAAAUCAUCAUGCCCCUUAUGAUUUGGGCUACACACGUGCUACAAUGGACAAUACAAAGGGCAGCGAAACCGCGAGGUCAAGCAAAUCCCAUAAAGUUGUUCUCAGUUCGGAUUGUAGUCUGCAACUCGACUACAUGAAGCUGGAAUCGCUAGUAAUCGUAGAUCAGCAUGCUACGGUGAAUACGUUCCCGGGUCUUGUACACACCGCCCGUCACACCACGAGAGUUUGUAACACCCGAAGCCGGUGGAGUAACCUUUUAGGAGCUAGCCGUCGAAGGUGGGACAAAUGAUUGGGGUGAAGUCGUAACAAGGUAGCCGUAUCGGAAGGUGCGGCUGGAUCACCUCCUUU